rnacentral:rRNA from 1 species
AGGACGAACGCUGGCGGCGUGCUUAACACAUGCAAGUCGAACGGGGCACUUCGGUGCUUAGUGGCGAACGGGUGAGUAACACGUGAGCAACCUGCCCUUGGCUCUGGGAUAGCCUCCGGAAACGGGGAUUAAUACCGGACAGGACCCUGGUCUGCAUGGACCGGGGUGGAAAGUUUUUCGGCCAGGGAGGGGCUCGCGGCCUAUCAGCUUGUUGGUGGGGUAAUGGCCUACCAAGGCGACGACGGGUAGCC